rnacentral:rRNA from 1 species
GGAACGGCAUUGGAGACUGCACGACUAGAGUGCGUCAGAGGGGGGUAGAAUUCCGCGUGUAGCAGUGAAAUGCGUAGAGAUGCGGAGGAAUACCGAUGGCGAAGGCAGCCCCCUGGGAUGACACUGACGCUCAUGCACGAAAGCGUGGGGAGCAAACAGGAUUAGAUACCCUGGUAGUCCACGCCCUAAACGAUGUCAACUAGCUGUUGGGGGUUUGAAUCCUUGGUAGCGUAGCUAACGCGAGAAGUUGACCGCCUGGGGAGUACGGCCGCAAGGUUAAAACUCAAAGGAAUUGACGGGGACCCGCACAAGCGGUGGAUGAUGUGGAUUAAUUCGAUGCAACGCGAAAAACCUUACCUGGUCUUGACAUGUAACGAACGCCGCAGAGAUGUGGCGGUGCCCGAAAGGGAGCGUUAACACAGGUGCUGCAUGGCUGUCGUCAGCUCGUG